rnacentral:rRNA from 1 species
GACGAACGCUGGCGGCAGGCUUAACACAUGCAAGUCGAACGGAAAAAGGCAGCUUGCUCGGGGAUCCAGCGGCGGACGGGUGAGUAACGCCUAGGAGUCUGCCGGCUUGGGGGGGGUAAAGUCUGGAAAAGGGCGCGAAUAACGCAGAAGGACAGAGGGAGAAGGGGGGGGGUGGUAGGACAGGAUGCGAUGAGAGGAGAGUAGGUCGGAUUAGCUAGUUGGUGGGGUGAAGGGCUUCCAAGGCGACGAUCCGUAGCUGGUCUGAGAGGGUGGUCGGGCUCACUGGAUCUGAGACACCCUCCAGACUCCUACGGGACGGCGCAGUCUGCAAUAUUGGGCAGUGGGCGAUAUCCUUAUCCAGCCGUGCCGCGUGUGUGGCGACGGUCCUCGGAUUGUGAAGCCCUUCUUGUUGUGAGGAACCGCAGUCAGUUACUACCUUGCUGUUUUGACGGUACCGGCAGAAUAAGCACCGGCUAACUACGUG